UACAAAAAUUGACAUUUCCUUAUGCCUAGAUAUUUCACUAGGUCCUUAAAACCCACGUGAAUCUGU
rnacentral:sRNA from 1 species